UACGGGGGGGGCAAGCGUUGUUCGGAAUUACUGGGCGUAAAGAGCUCGUAGGCGGCUCGUUGCGUCGGCUGUGAAAACCCGCAGCUCAACUGUGGGCUUGCAGCUGAUACGGGCGGGCUGGAGUUCGGUAGGGGAGACUGGAAUUCCUGGUGUAGCGGUGAAAUGCGCAGAUAUCAGGAGGAACACCGGUGGCGAAGGCGGGUCUCUGGGCCGAUACUGACGCUGUGGAGCGAAAGCGUGGGGAGCGAACAGG
rnacentral:rRNA from 1 species